GGGGAUAUAGCUCAGUGGUAGAGCGCAUGCUUAGCAUGCACGAGGUCCUGGGUUGAAUUCCCAGAACUUCCA
rnacentral:tRNA from 1 species